ensembl:snoRNA
AUCCUUUUAUGAUUCACAAACAUAAUGAUUGGGUUUUCACACUCUCGUGUGAGACAUUCCUCCCUCUAACCUUAUUACUACAUUGGCACCUUACUCAGUUGACA